rnacentral:rRNA from 1 species
AGAGUUUGAUCAUGGCUCAGGACGAACGCUGGCGGCGUGCCUAAUACAUGCAAGUAGAACGCUGAAGAGAGGAGCUUGCUCUUCUUGGAUGAGUUGCGAACGGGUGAGUAACGCGUAGGUAACCUGCCUUGUAGCGGGGGAUAACUAUUGGAAACGAUAGCUAAUACCGCAUAACAAUGGAUGACACAUGUCAUUUAUUUGAAAGGGGCAAUUGUUCCACUACAAGAUGGACCUGCGUUGUAUUAGCUAGUAGGUGAGGUAAUGGCUCACCUAGGCGACGAUACAUAGCCGACCUGAGAGGGUGAUCGGCCACACUGGGACUGAGACACGGCCCAGACUCCUACGGGAGGCAGCAGUAGGGAAUCUUCGGCAAUGGGGGCAACCCUGACCGAGCAACGCCGCGUGAGUGAAGAAGGUUUUCGGAUCGUAAAGCUCUGUUGUAAGUCAAGAACGGGUGUGAGAGUGGAAAGUUCACACUGUGACGGUAGCUUACCAGAAAGGGACGGCUAACUACGUGCCAGCAGCCGCGGUAAUACGUAGGUCCCGAGCGUUGUCCGGAUUUAUUGGGCGUAAAGCGAGCGCAGGCGGUUUGAUAAGUCUGAAGUUAAAGGCUGUGGCUCAACCAUAGUUCGCUUUGGAAACUGUCAAACUUGAGUGCAGAAGGGGAGAGUGGAAUUCCAUGUGCAGCGGUGAAAUGCGUAGAUAUAUGGAGGAACACCGGUGGCGAAAGCGGCUCUCUGGUCUGUAACUGACGCUGAGGCUCGAAAGCGUGGGGAGCGAACAGGAUUAGAUACCCUGGUAGUCCACGCCGUAAACGAUGAGUGCUAGGUGUUGGAUCCUUUCCGGGAUUCAGUGCCGCAGCUAACGCAUUAAGCACUCCGCCUGGGGAGUACGACCGCAAGGUUGAAACUCAAAGGAAUUGACGGGGGCCCGCACAAGCGGUGGAGCAUGUGGUUUAAUUCGAAGCAACGCGAAGAACCUUACCAGGUCUUGACAUCCCGAUGCUAUUUCUAGAGAUAGAAAGUUACUUCGGUACAUCGGUGACAGGUGGUGCAUGGUUGUCGUCAGCUCGUGUCGUGAGAUGUUGGGUUAAGUCCCGCAACGAGCGCAACCCCUAUUGUUAGUUGCCAUCAUUCAGUUGGGCACUCUAGCGAGACUGCCGGUAAUAAACCGGAGGAAGGUGGGGAUGACGUCAAAUCAUCAUGCCCCUUAUGACCUGGGCUACACACGUGCUACAAUGGUUGGUACAACGAGUUGCGAGUCGGUGACGGCGAGCUAAUCUCUUAAAGCCAAUCUCAGUUCGGAUUGUAGGCUGCAACUCGCCUACAUGAAGUCGGAAUCGCUAGUAAUCGCGGAUCAGCACGCCGCGGUGAAUACGUUCCCGGGCCUUGUACACACCGCCCGUCACACCACGAGAGUUUGUAACACCCGAAGUCGGUGAGGUAACCUUUUGGAGCCAGCCGCCUAAGGUGGGACAGAUGAUUGGGGUGAAGUCGUAACAAGGUA